GACGAACGCUGGCGGCGUGCUUAACACAUGCAAGUCGAACGGAAAGGCCCUGCUUUUGUGGGGUGCUCGAGUGGCGAACGGGUGGGUAACACGUGAGUAACCUGCCCUUGACUUUGGGAUAACUUCAGGAAACUGGGGCUAAUACCGGAUAGGAGCUCCUGCUGCAUGGUGGGGGUUGGAAAGUUUCGGCGGUUGGGGAUGGACUCGCGGCUUAUCAGCUUGUUGGUGGGGUAGUGGCUUACCAAGGCUUUGACGGGUAGCCGGCCUGAGAGGGUGACCGGCCACAUUGGGACUGAGAUACGGCCCAGACUCCUACGGGAGGCAGCAGUGGGGAAUAUUGCACAAUGGGCGGAAGCCUGAUGCAGCAACGCCGCGUGCGGGAUGACGGCCUUCGGGUUGUAAACCGCUUUCGCCUGUGACGAGGCGUGAGUGACGGUAAUGGGUAAAGAAGCACCGGCUAACUACGUG
rnacentral:rRNA from 1 species